ACUAAUUUGGCAGAGUAGUGCAUCAAAUUUAGAAAUUGAUAAUAUAUUGAAUUAUAGUUAGUA
rnacentral:tRNA from 1 species